GUGAGUGGACUGCGAUGAAGAAUGCCGCAGGGUCUCUGGCUGCACCGCGUCCUGGCUCCUGUUCGUCCCCAGCAACACCUAAGAGUGAAGACACGCGUGUGUAUCUCUCCUGAAGCAGCAUGAAAACUUGAGCUGCCUUUAGAUUCGCCCGUAGGUGGCUUUAUUUAUUUAUUUGUGUAUUUUAGGAGCUGGUGGGGGGUGGGGAGCAUUUCGGGACUGUGGGAACCUCCAGCUCGCACAGGGGGCUUCUCGUCGGUGGCUAGCAUCACGGCCAUCGCGAGAACACUGCCGCCCUAAUGACGGCCUCCUUAGGUGGGAAAAGGCGUAAAGAUAAACACAGAAUGCAGCAGGAAAACUCGGUGAAUGGCAGGUGCAGGCUCCAAGAACUCUCUGAUAAAACGGAACGCUUUAGAAAACGUUUAUGGGGCUUUUAGGAACUGUGAGUCUGUCAAGUGUUAAGAAGCGGCACGCAGUGGGUGACAGAGGAUGCAUUAGGAAAAAGUGGGCUGAUGGCUCCCCCAAACCUGCAGAGCCCCUCCUGGGGCCUUGCCGCAGCCCCUGGAAAGCAGACGCCAAAGCCCCUCCAUUUGGACUGAGUUUGGAAUUAGCACAUGACUUUGAGGUUUCCAAACACUGGAGGCUCGGUUCUUACUCCUCUUCCCUGCCUUAGGCGCGGUCCCAGGGCAUCAUCGCCUGCGGGUGUCAUUUGCUUCAGUUCACCCCGACGGACACCAGGGGUCGCGCACCUAGGGGUGGAUGGAUGGCCGCCCCUCAUGAGGAGGAUGUGUGCUGUGAGGCCGGGGCAGCACCUUCAGGGUAGACCCGUCCCCACGCGGCCAGAGAGGUCCCCACGUGGCCAGAGAGAGCCAUGUCUGCAGCUGUGCUGGGACUACCACCCUGCACCCGCUCCACCCAGGGAAGGUUGUCGGUGUGGCACUGCGGCUGCAGCCGCCUUCGCUUCCCGGCCGGCGGGCUUCACUGUGGUUCAGUAGGGCACUCAGGACAAGGGGCUCUUCUGAACACUCCCCCCCGCCCCAAGGGCCACCAUGGGACACUGCACAAGGGCUGCCCUGUCUGUCCUGCCCCUGGAGCGCCCCCUGCGGAGCUCCACUGCAGGGGGCCAAGACCCAGGAAGGGGCUGUCAACCUUCCCUGGAGCAGGUGCAGUCGGAGCACGCGCCCUGGGCUGCUGGCUGCCAGGGGCCCCGCGAGGGCUGCCCGCCCCAACCGCUCGGCCUCCUUGGGCCCGCUCCCGGUGCCCCCUGAAUCUAGGUGCUGAACCCAGCACAGCCAGACCCCCUGAUGCCUGCACGUUCUCGCUCACAACCCUGGGAAAACUGCAUAGCAGGGGAUAAACAAGACUCGGUUCCAUAUUUGGAGCUGUGGUACAAUCAGAGUCAAAGAGACAGAAAGAAAAAGAGCAAGGCAAGCAUGAAACGGGGGAGGGGCUAUGUAAGCAAUAAACCCCGACACCUGGUUCCGUGCA
rnacentral:lncRNA from 1 species